rnacentral:rRNA from 1 species
UACGUAGGGCGCAAGCGUUGUCCGGAAUUAUUGGGCGUAAAGAGCUCGUAGGUGGCUUGUCACGUCGGGUGUGGAAGCUUGGGGCUUAACUCCAGGUCUGCAUUCGAUACGGGCUGGCUAGAGGUAGGUAGGGGAGAACGGAAUUCCUGGUGUAGCGGUGAAAUGCGCAGAUAUCAGGAGGAACACCGGUGGCGAAGGCGGUUCUCUGGGCCUUACCUGACGCUGAGGAGCGAAAGCGUGGGGAGCGAACAGG